rnacentral:rRNA from 1 species
UACGGGGGGAGCAAGCGUUGUUCGGAUUUACUGGGCGUAAAGGGCGCGUAGGCGGCCAGCACAAGUCAGUUGUGAAAUCUCCGAGCUUAACUCGGAACGGUCAACUGAUACUGUGCGGCUAGAGUGCAGAAGGGGCAACUGGAAUUCUUGGUGUAGCGGUGAAAUGCGCAGAUAUCAGGAGGAACACCGGUGGCGAAGGCGGCUUGCUGGGCCAGUUCUGACGCUGGAGGAGCGAAAGCGUGGGGAGCGAACAGG